UUGAUCAUGGCUCAGAUUGAACGCUGGCGGCAGGCCUAACACAUGCAAGUCGGACGGUAGCACAGAGGAGCUUGCUCCUCGGGUGACGAGUGGCGGACGGGUGAGUAAUGUCUGGGGAUCUGCCCGAUAGAGGGGGAUAACCACUGGAAACGGUGGCUAAUACCGCAUAACGUCGCAAGACCAAAGAGGGGGACCUUCGGGCCUCUCACUAUCAGAUGAACCCAGAUGGGAUUAGCUAGUAGGCGGGGUAACGGCCCACCUAGGCGACGAUCCCUAGCUGGUCUGAGAGGAUGACCAGCCACACUGGAACUGAGACACGGUCCAGACUCCUACGGGAGGCAGCAGUGGGGAAUAUUGCACAAUGGGCGCAAGCCUGAUGCAGCCAUGCCGCGUGUAUGAAGAAGGCCUUCGGGUUGUAAAGUACUUUCAGCGGGGAGGAAGGCAGUGAGGUUAAUAACCUUACUGAUUGACGUUACCCGCAGAAGAAGCACCGGCUAACUCCGUGCCAGCAGCCGCGGUAAUACGGAGGGUGC
rnacentral:rRNA from 1 species